rnacentral:rRNA from 1 species
GACGAACGCUGGCGGCGUGCUUAACACAUGCAAGUCGAACGGAAAGUCCCUGCUUUUGUGGGGUGCUCGAGUGGCGAACGGGUGAGUAACACGUGAGUAACCUGCCCUUGACUUUGGGAUAACUUCAUGAAACUGGGGCUAAUACCGGAUAGGAGCUCCUGCUGCAUGGUGGGGGUUGGAAAGUUUCGGCGGUUGGGGAUGGACUCGCGGCUUAUCAGCUUGUUGGUGGGGUAGUGGCUUACCAAGGCUUUGACGGGUAGCCGGCCUGAGAGGGUGACCGGACACAUUGGGACUGAGAUACGGCCCAGACUCCUACGGGAGGCAGCAGUGGGGAAUAUUGCACAAGGGGCGGAAGCCUGAUGCAGCAACGCCGCGUGCGGGAUGACGGCCUUCGGGUUGUAAACCGCUUUCGCCUGUGACGAAGCGUGAGUGACGGUAAUGGGUAAAGAAGCACCGGCUAACUACGUG